rnacentral:rRNA from 1 species
AGUGAACGCUGGCGGUAGGCCUAACACAUGCAAGUCGAACGGCAGCACAGUAAGAGCUUGCUCUUACGGGUUGCGAGUGGCGGACGGGUGAGGAAUACAUCGGAAUCUACUUUUUCGUGGGGGUUAACGUAGGGAAACUUACGCUAAUACCGCAUACGACCUACGGGUGAAAGCAGGGGAUCUUCGGACCUUGCGCGAUUGGAUGAGCCGAUGUCGGAUUAGCUAGUUGGCGGGGUAAAGGCCCAGCAAGGCGACGAUCCGUAGCUGGUCUGAGAGGAUGAUCAGCCACACUGGAACUGAGACACGGUCCAGACUCCUACGGGAGGCAGCAGUGGGGAAUAUUGGACAAUGGGCGCAAGCCUGAUCCAGCCAUACCGCGUGGGUGAAGAAGGCCUUCGGGUUGUAAAGCCCUUUUGUGGGGAAAGAAGAGCAGCAGGUUAAUACGCCGCUGUUCUGACGGUACCCAAAGAAUAAGCACCGGCUAACUUCGUG